CCUACGGGAGGCAGCAGUGAGGAAUAUUGGUCAAUGGUCGCAAGACUGAACCAGCCAUGCCGCGUGCAGGAAGACGGUCCUAUGGAUUGUAAACUGCUUUUAUACAGGAAGAAACCCUCCCACGCGUGGGAGCUUGACGGUACUGUAGGAAUAAGGAUCGACUAACUCCGUGCCAGCAGCCGCGGUAAUACGGAGGAUCCAAGCGUUAUCCGGAAUCAUUGGGUUUAAAGGGUCCGUAGGCGGUCUUAUAAGUCAGUGGUGAAAGCCCAUCGCUCAACGAUGGAACUGCCAUUGAUACUGUAAGACUUGAAUGCUUAGGAAGUAACUAGAAUAUGUAGUGUAGCGGUGAAAUGCUUAGAUAUUACAUGGAAUACCAAUUGCGAAGGCAGGUUACUACUAAGUGAUUGACGCUGAUGGACGAAAGCGUGGGGAGCGAACAGGAUUAGAUACCCUGGUAGUCCACGCCGUAAACGAUGGAUACUAGCUGUUCGGCGCAAGUUGAGUGGCUAAGCGAAAGUGAUAAGUAUCCCACCUGGGGAGUACGCACGCAAGUGUGAAACUCAAAGGAAUUGACGG
rnacentral:rRNA from 1 species